UUCGCAAUGCCCGAAAGGGUGAACGAGCGACGCCGCGUGCGGGAUGAAGGGUUUCGGCUUGUAAACCGCUUUCGCAAUGCCCGAAAGGGUCUGACCUAUCCCUGGAGGAAGCACGGGCUAAGUUCGUGCCAGCAGCCGCGGUAAGACGAACCGUGCAAACGUUGUUCGGAAUCACUGGGCUUAAAGGGCGCGUAGGCGGGUGGCCAAGUCAGGGGUGAAAUCUUUCGGCUCAACCGGAAAAUUGCCUUUGAUACUGGCCGUCUUGAGGGAGGUAGGGGCAUGUGGAACUUCCGGUGGAGCGGUGAAAUGCGUAGAUAUCGGAAGGAACGCCGGUGGCGAAAGCGGUCCGCUGGACCUCUGCUGACGCUGAGGCGCGAAUGCCAGGGGAGCAAACGGGAUUAGAUACCCCGGUAGUCCUGGCCCUAAACGAUGGGCACUAAGUAGAGGGGUUUU
rnacentral:rRNA from 1 species